GUGCUCGCUUCUGCGGCACAUAAACUAAAAUUGGAACAACACAGAGAUCAGCACGGCCCUUGCGCCAGGAUGACACACAAAUUCGUGAAGUGUUCCAUUUUUUA